CACAAAGGUCACUGUCCCUGUGCCCAAGAGCUCAUAGGCUGCGUGUGAGGCUGUGCAGUGAUCACACAGCAAGCCCAAACAGGAUUUGGUACACCCCCUUCAGGCCCUGUGACUGUGGAUUCCUGGACAACUUAUGUGAACCCAGGCUCCUUCCAAAACUUCCCUAGCCUUUGACAGCGCCAAACUCAGGUUCAGUUUGCUGUGACCAUUGAAGGGCACUCCUUCUGAACUCACUCCAAAAGGAGGUAGCCUGCCAAGACAGAAUGUUCCAACGCUGCCACACCCAAAGUCUCGAUCUUCUGAACAUAAGACCAGAGUGGAACAGAAAGAUAAGGAGAACAUGAGGAGCCAUAUUGCCCCAUGUAGCUGACCCAUCUCCUGCCAGGCUUUCUGCCAUCUCAUCUUGACACUUGGAAAGAGAUAUGAGCCACACAGGGGAGAAGGCAUGUGAAGACAGAGAGACAGAUGGGACUCACAUGGCCACAAGCCUGGAAGCCAAGCAUUGUUGACAGCCAUCAGAAGAUUGAAGACAAAGAAAGGAUUUCAUGGGAGCUUCCUGGAGGAGCAUGGCCCUGCCGACCCCUCAAUUUCAGACUUCUGGCUUCCAUAACAGGGACAGAAUAAAUUCCUGUUAUUUUACAUCA